CAGCCUCACGGGCCUGCUGCCACUGUCUGCCCUGUCCUAUUGCACUGCAUCUCCGAACCUGAGCCAAAGAAAUACUUAAGAAUUUGGUCAUAGCAAUGAGAAAAGUAGUAACUAAUUCAAUAACCCUGGCUUGAACUGUUUCUUUUUCUUCGCACCAAUGCAUUUAUUCUUAUAUAAAGUCUUAUAUAAAAUCUCGUGUGUUCUCUCUCUCUCUCUCUCUCUCUCUCUCUCUCUCUCUCUCUCUCUCUCUCUCUCUCUCUCUCUCUCUCUGGUUUUGCUUCAUCCAUUCAUUUGUCCUAGAGUUCCUAAGGGAAUAUAGAUCUUUCCCUCUCCAGAUCUGUCAUAGCACUUUCUUCACAUCUGUACUUCGUGUCUUCUGUGUGCCGUGUUCUGCACAAAGGCCCAGCCAAUAAGAACACCCAUCUCCCUUGCCUGCCGUUCUGUUUGGAGGGAGAACUUUCCAGUGCACCCAGUUACUGUGCUCAUCUCCUUCAUCACUUCCUUUUCUUGAUUUUCAUAUGUUAGAGAACAACAAAUUAGCCCUUCAUGGUAUUUUAAGGGAAAACAUGUAAAAGACUCACAAAUAGAUGAAAAUACUCUCGUUAAAUUCAAUGGAAGAUUGAACAUCAUAUGAUCUGGUUCUAUGCAGCCUUUUCUUGUCCUUGAGUUAUUUUACAUUGCUGUAAAUUACAUUCUACUAGUAACAAUGCAAAUGACUCAUCCAUACAAAUGCAAAUUAUACCUAAUUUGAGAUUCGACUGAUUAUUGCAUGUGCCUUUUCAUGUGAGCAUGUGCAUGUUGAGGCCAUGGGACAGUCUCUAGUCUUACAGCUCAGUAGCUGUCUGUCUUAUUUCUUGAGACAGUGUCUCUUUCUGGCUUGGAACUCAGCAAGUAGGGCUAAACUGGUAGCCAAAUAAUCCCAGAGAUCAGCCUAACUCCGCCUCUCCAGGGCUUGGACUAAAAUGUGUUUCACAGUGGUUGGUAUUUAAAGAAUGAUUUCUAAUGUGGGUUCUGGGAAUUUACCCUAUAGUCACACAUUUACUAUUGGCCCUUGGAUUACCACAGUUUCUUUCUUUCUACCCAAUGCUCCCCCUUUUGCCUCUUGCUUCUACUACCAGUAUGGGGAACACAAACUAUCUGUGUCGCCUCCAAACUGCUCAUGUGUCUGGUGGCAUAAAUUUGUUUGGACAAUGUGGGAAUAAAGUAGACAACAACAACAACAAAAAAAAGGAAUAAAAGUGGACAGGUUGAAGACAAAGUUUACAAGGAAACCUGACAAAGUUGGCCUAUGGGUUGCAUUUGGAUCAAGAAUCAUGAGAAUCAUGAUAACUUCUGUGUCUGGCGUGAAAGACUGGGUCUCCAGGGAACAUGGAUGUAGGAAGAAGUGUUGUGUGAUGAGCCGGGGGAAAAGUCCUUAAAAUAUUGUUUUUAAAAAUAAUUGAUUACAUACAGGCAUAUAGAAAGUUAAAAGCGAACAUCCCCAGGACAUGGUAAAGAUUCACGUAUAAAAUUCUGCCUCAAGUUACCACCCUUUUCCCACCCAGGACAGAAGUUCACAAAGGACAUCCACUCUGUUCCCAGCUUGCAGCCAUUCUUUGAGGCACAAUUGCAGUUUUUCCCACUAGUGAGUCUGUGUUCUUUUGUUUAUGAACUGGAAAGAAAGACAUGCCCUGAAUCUCCCUCAUAGACUAAGAAAAAUGCUUUCUAUGGAGUAUUUGGUUUCCAAUGGCUGGAAAUUUACAGGUCACUGCUUCUUAAAAGGCACACUGUCCCUUGGAGAAGGUGAAUAUGACUAUCCCCCCAUUGUCUCUAUGGUAGAAAACAUGUAACCAUUGAUUGGGUCAGAGUGUGGCAACUGAAAUCUGGAAAAGGAAAUUUUAAAUGACUAUCCUGACUUCACAGCCUCUUGGCCAAAUGGCAGUAGCAUUAUCAUUGAGCAGGUUAAGGAUGGGCAAUGGUGGUUAAUUGAGUUAUAGUCCUUGUAGAUGAAAUGUCCAAAGUGCGCGAGGCCUCAGGAAAGUCUAAUGCUGUUAGAUGCAUCCUGUAUAAUAGAAUACCUGCAAAUGUCUGUAAACAAAUUAGGAUUGCUUUUUGAGUGGGAAUGUAUAGCUCUCAGGGACAUGCGAAAUGUAUCUGGUAAUGUCUGUAAAGCACUUGAAAUGUUUUUUUUUCUUUUAGCCACUUUUCCUCAGGGAUACUUUGUCUCCCGUACUUCUAAUUCCAAUGAUAAAGAAUAAUUGUCAAUUCUACACUUAGUGGGUUGUGCAGAGUGACUCACGAAGCUAUUUACAACACAUCCAGAACUCACGAUUACAUUUCUCAUCAUGAAGAUCUGCCUUUCUAACUUGUGACAUUUAGAUACCACUUUCAGCUUGCAGGAGUGGCAGCUAUAACUUCGUGGUCCUUAGGGAAAAACUUUACUACCGGAGUAGAAGAAUGUAGUAAAAAGGAGCGUAGGUUUGGAAAGAACAUUUGGUACCUGACACCUGGCUCUCACAUUUAUGAGCUACACAAUCUGGCAAAUCACUUUACCUCCUGGACUCCAGCUCUCUUACCUGUAAAAUGAAGACAAUGGCACCUGCCACUCAAGGCUGUUUGUGUGUCUCGGUGAGUAAUGUAUAGUUCUUGACAGUUUAAUGAUGCCCAAUGAAACCUCCUUUUUCCUUCUAAAUUCAUUGCAAUUAGUCAACUCAAGAGCAAUUAUUCUUAAAUCUUCCCUCUGUCUAUGCAGGUCAAUUCAGAGGUUAACUGAUAUAAUUUUUUUUAAAAUAGCCAAGUCCAACAUACAUACAUGCACUUAGAUUGUUAAAUAGUUCUUGACUGAACCUUAAAAAAACAAAACAAAAUG
rnacentral:lncRNA from 1 species